rnacentral:lncRNA from 1 species
GCCUGGAACCUUCUGAGUGCAUGAGCUUCCACACCAGCUUUCCCCUCUGCCUUCUUCCCCUCUUCCCUCCUCUCCCCUCCUCAGCACCAGCUUCCCCUCUCCUCCUACCUCCCCUCCUGCUCCAACUGCCAUCCUUGUUGCUUAGCCCUUUCCCUAACAGACGCACCCUAUGUCCCUCCCCUCCCUUCCACCUCCUCUGCAUUUAAAUGAAGCUCUCUCCAGCACCUCCAGCUCUCUCUCCAGCACCUCCAGCUUAGGAGAUGGGGAAACUGAGGCAGACCCCAGUGCAGAUGUUUCUUUCCUGCUGGGAACAAUUAAAGACCCUCAGAGCUGAGAAGGAAGCAGAUAAAUGAUGGGGGCAUGCAUGCAGAUGUAUGUGGAUCCCCAGUCUGCCUCAUUACUUCACAGCAGAGACGCUUCUGGAGCCUGUUUUCCCAUUUGUGGGAUGGGGAUGGAACACGCUGUCAGUGCAUGCUCCAGGACGCCGGGAGAUGCCAGGAAGGGCCUGUGACAGGCAGAGCCACCAGGAUCUAUCCGAGCAGCAGGAGCAGACUGGGGGAGAGUGGCCAGGGGGGUCCUGGGAGGCAAAGGUGGGGAGAUGGGCAGUGAGGAGGGGGGAGGGGAGGAAGACAGGAGGACCCACCUCCCACAGGAGGCCCCCACCCAGCAGGAUUGAUCUUCCCAUAGAUCCUGCGGGAGCUGGAGCCAGGGCUGGCUGGGCGCUGGGCAGAGAGAGGAGGGCCAAGGCCAGCAGAGGGGAAGGGAGGCCCUGGUCGCCAAACCCUGGAGCUGGGUCCCUGGGCUGGAGGAGGGGUGGGUCUAGCUACCUGGCUGAGCAGCCCACUUUCCCUGUGCUCCUCAGAAUUUCCUGGACUCAGCUUGCCCACAGCAGAGGCAGGUGUAGGGCAGGGCCUGGGCUAAACAUCUUCCUUUAUUUGGAGACAGGGUCUCACCAGGUUGCCAAAUCACAUGGGCUGAGCUUGAACUUGAGAUCCUCCUGCCUCAGCCUUCCCCAGUGCUGGAAUAACAGAUCUCUCCUGCUAUGAACAAAGCCCCUACAGACCUUGGG